rnacentral:rRNA from 1 species
UAGUCCACGCCGUAAACGAUGAGUGCUAAGUGUUAGAGGGUUUCCGCCCUUUAGUGCUGCAGCAAACGCAUUAAGCACUCCGCCUGGGGAGUACGGUCGCAAGACUGAAACUCAAAGGAAUUGACGGGGGCCCGCACAAGCGGUGGAGCAUGUGGUUUAAUUCGAAGCAACGCGAAGAACCUUACCAGGUCUUGACAUCCUCUGACACUCCUAGAGAUAGGAUUUUCCCCUUUGCGGGGACAGAGUGAC